UUGAGUGAUUACCCUAUACCCUACCUCCUCCUGAGAAGGGAUGGAGCCAAAGUAUUCUGGAAUGAGAUGUUAACACACUUGGAAUUAAAAAAGAGUUUCUACCGUAUUGUUAAGGUUGUUCACUCAUGGCUCCAUACAGUACCCGGACUCCUGAAAAAGCUCUUCGAUGUUGUUUUGAAAAGGGCUUCUCGAGAAAAGGGUUACCACUUUUCCUCUCCAAAGAUUCCACUUUUCUGAUUUCUUUCGCCUUUCCUUUCGUCCUUUUAGUGUCCCUCGGGUUCCCUCAACUCACCUCAGCCCUCAGCUAAUAAUAUAUUUUAACCCUCCCAACUCCUUCCAUUUGAACUCUAAUCAAAACCCUCCAAGGUUUGAUCUCAAAAUAAACAAUGGAAAACUCUUCACCCCUUCCUCUUUCUAAACACAACAGAGAUCUCCUUUUAUCUGCUUUAUAACUCCCAUCUGGUCAUCCUUCGCAAAAAGAAUUUCAGAAUGAGAAUGUGUCACCACUCUUUUGCCUUCACCAUCUCAAUGUCCUUUUCUAAUUAUCUUUAUCUUGCUCCUUAGAAGAAGAACCUCACACUACAGAGCUCAAGCACCCCACCCCCAAGUGGUCAAAAUGUCAACUAUGCCAAUGUAUCAACAGCAACAAGAACAACCUCCUCCGAUGAGUGUGACACAACAUUCACCACAUGAGUCCAUUGGUCCCGUGAUUGGGGUUCUGGUCGUGGUUAUUGUGUUAGGCGUAAUUGCUGUUAUGAUUGGAAGGCUUUGUUCAGGAAGAAGAAUCAUGGGGCAUGGUCAAUACGAUGUAGAAAGGUGGGCAGAGAGAAAAUGUUCAUCUUGCAUUGAUGGCAGAAUUAACCUCUCACUUCCCACAAGAGCCAGUGAGUCAAGCAACUCAGUUCCUGAAACACCCAUCCACACUUGUCAAGAAACCAAGCGACCAGAACAAUCUUCUCAGACAUCGCCACCUAACCUUUGAUUUCCAUCUGGGUGUCUUUUUAAAGAAAAUAUUGUUGUCUUGUGUUAUUGUUUCAAUUUUCGUUCUUCUUUUGUUUUUCCCUUUUUGUCCUAUCGAAUCACCCUCUUCAGGUAGUUACCAAAAUUUAGUCUUCAGAUGUAAUUUCUAUCUGUAAUAUAUAAGGCUGCACUAUCUACUCAAUCAUGCAGUAUCCCACUAUCCCAGGCUUCACUGUCACUUUACAGAGGUCGUUUAACACUUUAGUUAUGUACCUUACAAUAUAUUAUUGGUCACAUUCUCACAGCC